rnacentral:rRNA from 1 species
UACGUAGGGAGCGAGCGUUGUCCGGAAUUACUGGGUGUAAAGGGUGCGUAGGCGGCCUUGCAAGUCAGGCGUGAAAACCAUGGGCUCAACCCGUGGACUGCGUUUGAAACUGUGAGGCUUGAGUGAAGUAGAGGUAGGCGGAAUUCCCGGUGUAGCGGUGAAAUGCGUAGAGAUCGGGAGGAACACCAGUGGCGAAGGCGGCCUACUGGGCUUUAACUGACGCUGGGGCACGAAAGCAUGGGUAGCAAACAGG